AAGAGAUAGGCUCUUGCAUUGCUGUUUUUAAGCCCAACAAGAGAGAGAUGGAAUCCUGUGAGAGUCCUGCUUUACCUGGAAGUCACCAAUUUCAGCAAUGGUGAUCUUAUCAAAGUCCCUGCAAUAAUAGUGAGGGCAGGAUCACAACUUCUCUUUACAGUUCAUCACUCCCUUCAUUCCCUCAUUUGCAAUGGGUGAGAUCAAGAGGUAAAUUAAUGGUGUGCCACCUUUGUGGGGAGAGAGCUGCCUAGCUCAAGAAUGCUGUGGUGAGGGAGUAUGAUUGGACAAGCACUGUCACUCCCUGCUAGGGCAGGAAUCCCACAGAACCCUCUUGUUGUUGACCCAGGUAGAUAUGUGUAUUGCUGCAGCCACUCUCAAGGGCCAUCUGGUAUACCUAACAACCACCUGACAUUACAGAUUGGUCCCUGGACCACCAAAUUCAAUUAGUAGUAGCCACUUCUAAAAAGAGUCAUCAAUUCAAAAGGAAUCUUUGUGUUUGCAUAUUUAAAGCCAAGAUAAUUAUUGUUAGUCUCUGCAUAACAAACGUAAUUUCAAUUAGAUUCUUUUUGUAAAUUAAAAACUAUUGCUUGUAUGUAAUGAGUAUUCCUAUUUUUUUUAAGUUCAUUUUUAAUGUUUUCAUUCCAGGAACAUUAAGAGCAUUGAACAAAAGAUUGUCCAAUUACUGUAUAAUGUUAACAAAUAUGCCAAAUCCUUCAUUUGUGCAGGAGCAAGUGGCCUAGGAUGACGAAAACUGAUUGUCACAGGAAUUUUCAACACCAAACUAGAUGGGACAAUAUUUGAAAUUGUGUAGUUACAGAAUAGUUUAUUUUUGGUUUCUGUUUUCUAUAAUUUCCAAGAAAAGUUGCAAGGAACUCUCUGUCCAAACACUUCUUCAUGGCUUAAUAUCCAUACCAUUUGAUAAUGCUUUAUUUCUCAUGUGGAAAAACAAGAGUGUCAUGUUGAAUCUUUUACCCAUAUUUAGGCUAUCAAAUGAAAUUAAAAACAUAACAUGACCUUCAGAUGGCAUGGAAAAAGAUUGAUUGCAUAAGCAAAAUGUUUGUCACAGCACAUGGAAUCAUUUUACCAUUCUUAGGAAGGUUUGAGAAUGAGGGAAUGGAAUGAAAAAUCAAACCAGAGAUCCGUAUUUUCUUUUCUUGCAAACUGGUUUCCAUGGUUCUCAGAGCCUGGAAACCUGUCACCAGCAUAUAGUCUGGCAGUCGGGGCUGUUGUUGCUAUUGAUUGAGUUUAUUUGGGGGUUUUGCUGGUAUCAUGUCUGAAACAGCUUAGGAAAAGUGAACAUCCAUAUGUAUUCUCUCCAUCUGACAUGGUAUCACUACUCUCAGGACUUUCCAGAGUGUCACUUCUUUAUCUCCGUGGAGAAGCAAUUAAAAAAAUCGUCUGCUAAAAUGGCUGGUGGGCAUUUGUUUCCUAUUUUCUAAAAGCAAGUUGGCUAUUUUGCCCUUGAGCCUUAAGAAAUGUUGCUGAUUGGCUGUUUGUUAUUUUUAAAUAAUAUAUGGCAUGUAUCCAAGUAAGCAUUCCGAUGACCUCGACAAUAAAAUGUGAUUCUUGGCUGCAAGGUCUGUUGGGGGAUGGCAGGCUGCCAGCCACUCAUACAUCAUUUACAGGUGGCUGUUUCUGACAGGCUAGUGUUAGUUAUUGUAAAUGAGUGACAGUCCCUAUAACUCACCUGUAAGCCUGACUCUGCUGGCCCAGGGCUUCCGAGAUCCCCACCCCCUUCGCACAUGCCUGUCCCUCUUGAAGCCCCAAAUACACAGCCCUUCACGGGCACGUGGCAGCCUGCACCGGCUCAUCAGUACGUGGAGCUACCUUGUAUGUGAUUGACGAUAAUUAGGUUUCAACUGCCUUCUGAUGCAGAAAUACACACCAUUACAGCAUGGCCAAUUCGGCUCCUGCAAUCUUGCUGUGAAAGGGUAUUGAUUCACUCUUUCACAUUUUUAAAAGGUCAUGGCAAUAAUUCCAUCUGAACUGUGCUAAGUGAAAAUAGUUUGUAGAAAUAAUAUGGUUGCUUCUUAGUUCCAUGGUAAUUGAAAGGCGCAAUGGCUUGUUUUUUUAGUAUAUUUUAAUUACAUGUGUCACUUUGUUCCCUCUUACCCUGAUGAAGUGUGUGUAGAGUUUCAAGGCGGGUGGCGCUCUGUGUUAAUGUCUUCUGACUUUGGGGCAAAGAGCACUUUUUGUUUUCCUACUAUAUCAGGUGAAGCCUAACCAAACACUCAGUCCCCCUGCCUUAUUAAUUUAAGAAUUAAAGGGAGAAGACUUGAACCGUUUCCCCAGAUCUGUCAUCUGCCUGCCUGUUUUAAUACGAUUGGAAUAUAUUGGCUUUGGUAAACGGGUUGCUAAAUGUGCUUACUUUCCACAAAUUUUCAUUGUAGUUAAACAGCUUUUUCUGGGUUGGCUGUAAAAUAUUAUUCUCAAUAUUUAUCAGACCAUAAUAAAACAAGGUCUUUUUGAGAGAACAUCGCUCCUGGAGUGUAACCACCCCAGCCAGUGACAGGAAACUAAGACUGAUGUAGCAUAAAUUACCAGGAUAUUCAGAUGACAGGUUGAACACUUUCCUACAUCUUCAGCUCUUCCAAGGUGAGAGAGUUUUAAAGUGCUUGAAUUGCAUGUUUUGGGAAAGCAGUGAUCAGGUUUGAUGCCCUGAGCCACCCUGUAUCUCUCUCCCCAGUAGAGAGGGGAAAAGUCUCAGCUGUUUCUGGUUUCAAAAAUGAGCCAGUCAUUGUACUUGCAAACUAAGGGGCACAUUCUCAUCGAGAGCAUGGGGAUUUACGCACAUAAUUACCAUUAAUGCUAAUGGCAUUUAUGUCUGUACAGCCCCACACAUCAAGAUGAGAAUAUAUUUCCACGUCUUCACGCUGUGAAAGUCCAUUUAAUAUCAUUCAUUUUACAACUUAUUUUUUAAGAUGAUGUCCAUAGUCUGUCAUGGCAUACAUAUGCCUACUUAAAAGUAAGUGUGGGAAAUAUUGGGAAGAGAUAGGAUGGCUAAACUUGUUCAUGUGGAUGAAAUAUCACUGAACUCAAAUCCAUUCAUACUCUUUAAACACAACGCUCUACUCGGCUUUGAAACUGCUGGCACACUUUUCAUAGUGCUAUAAAUUUGUCAGCCUAAUGGGACAUUUUGUAGAUGUUUUCCUUUUUAAGUGCUUUAACAGGAGUAGGUAUUCCAUUGAUCCAAAAAUCCAGCUCAGCAUUUCAUUUCCUAGAGAUGAGAAGCAUACAUUUAAUGUCUUAUCAGAAAUUAAGUGGUGGAGAGUCCCCUACAUCUCUUCAAAGAAAGAAGAUUCAUUCCCAGCCCAACUGGGCUCUAAAGCAAGACACAGUCUACAGUGGGAGACAUCAGUGGUCACUGGGACCCGAGGUUUUCCCAUCUCUUCAUUGAUUAUAUGGUCAUCUUUAUGCAUCAGGCCCAAAAUCCUAUUGAGAGGUAUCUUCAUGGUCAUGCUGGCCAAACAGAUUCAGAUCCAGGUCUUGAUAGAAUCCUCCUGGGAUCUAUCCCAGCUGCCCAAUCUCUGAAGCCCUUAUCUUUGAGCCAACCAAAGCACAAGGGCUCUGCAUUUAAAGGACAGGCAUAGGACAGCAAUAGGAGUGCUGAAACCCACCCAAGAGGGUUCUCCAUGUUCCCUCCAUAGGGACAUGUCCUCCUUUGGGGAAAAGAGAAGAGCUUCCCAACACAUCUCAAAAGGCCACUCAAAGCAACAAGGUCACUUCUGAACCAGCUGAAGAUGGCCUACAGUGCCCUGCUCGGUGGCCUCAGGCAAUCCACUGGCCCUCUCUGAGCCUGUUUUCUCACCAAUAAGAUGGAGCAGGAUGAAUACUGAGUGUUUUAUCAUCUUGAAAUUUUAUAACCAUGCCACGUAGUGUUUGGCUUUCAUGGAAAUUGGGAUUAUGGUGAAUUGCAAUUAAUAACCAGAAGGAAAUGUCAUCACACUACAAAUUGGCAGUAGGGAGAGGAUAUAGUCCUGCAGCCUAACUCCAUGUCUGUACCCAUGCUGGGAUGGGAUUACUUUGCAUUUAGCUUGGUGGCUUGUCUGUUAGCAAUUGGCUGCUGUAGGUACAGUGAGUAGCAAUGAUGUUGGUUCCCAGGGGCAGAAGGCAGAGGGCCUUUGCAAAUGCCCCUGUCCUGCACUCCCACCUUCCCUGGCAUGCCAAACUAGCAAGGCCAAUUUUGUUUCAACUUGCCAACCACCACAUUCUCUGGGCUUUUUCCUCUUGAGAUCACCAUUUCCUCCAUCAUACUGAAAUAUUUUUAGAUGCAAAAGCAUUGCCCUUUAAAUUCCCCAGAUUCCACUGUUUUGUUUUUACCCAUUGCCCUGAAGUUGUGUUUGAUAUGCCUGUGGCCCCUUCCACUCUACGUGUAUUACAGAUGUUUUUAUUAAAAAAAAAAGAUUUCUCCGUUUUAAUGAGGGUUAUCUGACUCUCGUUUCAGAAAUAGGGCUUCUGUAGCAUUAAUGCAACACUUAUUGGUCACCUCCUGUGUCCCAGCAAUGGCAAAGCCCUGGGAAUAGGUUUGGAUGAAACACUGCCCACAACUUCUGAGACUUGAAUAGCUAACGUUUGCAUUGUGUUGCACAAUUUCAAAGGAUGUUCGCAUGCACUUCCUCCUGUGCUUCGACCUGUGCAACAAUUGGGAGUGAUAAGCAGGGUAGCGGAUAUUGUCUCCAUCCCAAAGGCAAAUGGAGACAGUAGACGGGUUGUUCAAGGUCCGUAGUCAACAGUGUUGCUCACCACUCCAGCCUCCUCUUUAGCCUGCAGACCCGUUGAUCCUCCCUCUGCUGCACGUGUCUGACGGGCAUCUAGCACUUUGAGUGAAAGAAUAAGGGCUGUGGUGGCUCCCAGGGACUAGUUGAGGUGUUAAACAGGAGCCUGUGGCUUGUUUGUUGGAUUGACACCUCCUUCAGGUGGUGAGGUGAGGGCAGCCCAUCCACUCUCAGAAGUUUCCGGAUUCUCGGUUGUGUACUUCUUUGAACUUACACUGUUGAAAAAUAUCAAGGUCAGAACAUGAUUGAAGAACCUUCUUCCUCUCUUUUAAGUCUCUGCGCUUCUAUGAUAUUGUUUUCCACUGAAGAAGUUCUCUUAAAAAUGAGAUUGAGAUCCCUAAAGAAAUUGCUUCAAUCAGCAGCAGGGCUUAAUGACUGUUAAUGGGAAGUGGAGAUAGGAUAGUAAGUGUUACUUUGAUUAAUAAGAGAACUGCAGAGAAUUUAAAUUGUGCCACUGAUGGAUUAUUUUCUUCAAGCUUGAUAAGCACUUCUCAUUUGUUCUUAAAUUUGGUCAAUACUGUUAAAGGCAGCAAAAUGAAGUAUAAUUAAUUCUAUUACUGCUGCUCAGACCAAGUGUUACUAAGAAACAGAUUAUGAUGCAGAUGACAGUAGAAGUCACAGUGUUGACAGUCUGAUGCUUUGAAUACCUGUCAUUGCUUGUUAGCCUGAAAAAAUGAAGAAAAUAUUUUGCUAGCCUGAUUUAAUACCUAAAACUGUUUUUAAAAAAUCUGUGCAUGUUCCAUUGACCAUAACGUAGGCAGUAUCAAUAAGACGAUCAACUGACUCUAAAAUUAUUCUGCUUUGGAAGUAUAGAGAAUAAAUAAAAGAUUGAGAUAAUGUAUCAGUUAAAAUAUUAAGCACUGGAUACUUCUUUUGAAUUAAUCACUAAAAAAAUGGGAUAUUGAUUUGAUGUUGAAUGGGUAUUGAAAGAAGCUUCACAUAUUUCCUCUUUUCUCAAAGAUUCUGUCCUAUAUUAUAAAUCAUGCUUUUCUUUACCUUUGAUAUUCAUUUUAUUCAAAACAAUUAACAAACAGGUGGCAUUUAGAGCAAAGAUCCCAUCUUAGCACACAAUUUUAUUUACUAUGAGUACUAAUGCCUAGGACGUUAGACCUGCCCCUUGUUUCCUGUAAACAGCAAGAUGUGUCAGUAUUUUCUGAAUGGCUUUUUGCCCCUCCUGAUCCCUUUUAAAUCUAUCCCUACCUAUUUAUUUAAGGGACAAGAAUCACUUUAUAAGGCCUGCUACAAGUCAUGUCUGCAUGUGGGCUGGUAGACACAAGGUCUUUCCAAAUGUCUUUCUGCUUCUUAAUUCAGUGAUUCUCAGCUUUGCAGUUCCUAAGCCUGGGCAUAUCUAGUUAAUUCAUGAAAUGAUUCCAAGAUUUAAAAUGGAAAAAUAUUAAUCCCAUUCCAUUUUUAAAAGAAAAUAUGCAAUUUAUCAAUCUUAUUUCACAGACUCCACCAAAUAACAGCGGGAUUUUACAACUUUGGAAAGACUGAGCAUCAGCCCGAACAUGUGUCCUUCUGUUCACUGUCUAUUUCCAAGUCUGUGUUUCUUCCAAAGUGCAUAAAGUCACCGGAUUGCUGCAAGACAAUUCAAGUCGAAAAAGUGUAAGCUGAGUUAUUUCCGUUCGUACUGUAUCUCUGUGUUUGCUGGUCGAGUUUGGUACAACUUACAGCUUCAGAAUUACUGUAUAAUGCUCAGAGGUGUGAAAUGCCAUUUCAGUGCUAUACAAAGAAGAAAUAUAUAGAAAUCAAGUAACCAGAGUCCCACGGAAUAGGACAAAAAGACCCAGCAGCACUGCAGCACCUCACACCAAGGCGUGCUGAGAACCAAUGCAGAGAAGAAAAAUGGCACGUGGGCUGGCGGCUGCUUCCUCAGCCUCCUGACUUACGGCAAUGGGCUCCAGCUCCUCACAACCAGAGGGCAGCAGAAUCCAGGAGGCUGGUGGUGCCUUCUCCACACCCAGAGUGGAUCAGCUCACUACCCACACCUACUCUCAGGGGCCCCAACUUCAAAGACGUGUGGGUUGCUGCCAAAGAUGGAGCAGGAGCUAAUGUCACCAGCCAGGAAGAAUAAUAAGCAAAUGCAUUAACUAAGGCUAAUUAGUCUUCUAUUUUUGUCUCUAAUCAUUUCUUAAAACCAAAAAAGUCAUUAUAGUCAAUUGUGUCUUCAGUGAAAGAUGUACUUGAAUUUCUAUAUGUGGGCUACAUUUUACAUGUCACGCAUCCAGCAGGAUCUUAGACACACUAUGUUUAGAUGGUCACCUGUAAUCUUGCCUAAGUCUUACUUUAGCUAUGAUUAUCCUUCUGAUGAAAAAUAAACAGAACAUAAAUUUC